AGGACGGUUCGAGUAAGUGAUAUUUCGGAACAGAAUCUAGUUCCUUCGAUACCAAUGUAUUCUAGUAAUAUGAUUUUUUUCUGUGUUGGUGUACUAGAUUCUGUUCCGAAAUAUCACUUACUCGAAC